CACCAGUUUUCUUCCAUCUCUCACAUUCCCUCCAUCUGCAAUUCAUUCUUCAUCUCUUUCCAUUGUUGGAGUUCAACAUAUUCAUUUCAUAGUCUUCUCUUCUGGACUUCAUCUCUUCCUCCCUCCUGUACGACCAUUUCUGUUGGAGCAGAAAAAUCUUUCACUAACAACAGCUUUGCUGCCCACAUCUGCACGCCCUGAACAGUAUCAGAACCAGGUGAAGUACAUGCACUUCAGCCUCAGCAACACAGCCAGAGGAGAAAAAUUCUGACUACCUAAUUAUCCAUUUAAGUCAGAAGACUGAUAAAGCCUGA